UACGGGGGGGGCAAGCGUUGUUCGGAAUUACUGGGCGUAAAGGGCGCGUAGGCGGUUUGUUAAGUCGAAUGUGAAAACUCUGGGCUCAACCCAGAGCCUGCAUUCGAUACUGGCAGGCUAGAGUGCGAGAGGGGAAAGCGGAAUUCCUGGUGUAGCGGUGAAAUGCGUAGAUAUCAGGAGGAACACCGGUGGCGAAGGCGGCUUUCUGGAUCGCAACUGACGCUGAGGCGCGAAAGCUAGGGUGGCAAACGGG
rnacentral:misc_RNA from 1 species